CUGUUAAUAACCCCAAAACCAUUAAAUACUAAAUAAACAAACCAUUUUUCCACCUAAGUAUGGGCGACAGAAAAGGAACACAGGCGCCAUAGAAAAAGUACCGCAAGGGAAUGCUGAAAAAGAAAUGAAAUAGACCAGUAAAGUUGAAAAAAGCAGAGACUUACACUCGUACCUUUUGCAUCAUGAUUUAGUUAGUAAAGACCAAGCAAAGCGCACUUUAGUUUGAUACCCCGAAACUAAGUGAGCUACUCCAAGACAGUCUAAAAACAGGACUAACCCGUCUCUGUGGCAAAAGAGUGGGAUGAGCUUAGAGUAGAGGUGAUAGACCUACCGAACCUAGUUAUAGCUGGUUACCUGAGAAAUGAAUAGAAGUUCAGCCCCUUUAUUUCUCUACUCAAUGCUAACUUAUCUACCACUGACUUAGAGAAAUCAAGAUAGUUAAUUAAAGGGGGUACAGCCCCUUUAAAUAAGAUACAACUUAAUCAGACGGGUAAAGAUCAUAGUCACCAAAGCAAAAUGUUUCAGUAGGCUUGAAAGCAGCCACCUAUAAGGAAAGCGUUAAAGCUCCUUCAUUCUACCAUCUACAAAUUCAGAUAAUAAAUCUAACCCCACUAGUUUUAUCAGGUCGCCCCAUACAAUUAUGGGGGCGUUCAUGCUAAUAUGAGUAAUAAGAAAAGUCAGCUUUUCUCCUUGCAUACCUGUAAAUCGAAACGGACCCCCCACCGAAUAUUAUCGGCCCCAAAAAAAGAGGGUAAUGAACUAAAACCUUAAUAACAAGAAAAACCCCAAAAUAUUAACCGUUAACUCCACACUGAUGUGCUAAUAAGGAAAGACUAAAAGAUAAUAGAAGGAACUCGGCAAAUACAAGCCUCGCCUGUUUACCAAAAACACCGCCUCUUGCAAAUAAAAAUAUAAGAGGUCA
rnacentral:rRNA from 1 species